UGAAGACUUCUCCCUGAAGAAGUUAAGUUAGCGCAAGGCUCUGAGAAUGGGCCAUUCCCCUAAGCCCGGAACUAGAAAUAGUGCCGGGCCUUUUUAU
rnacentral:sRNA from 1 species